AAAUAUUUUAAAAAUUCUAUUUAUUAUUAGUCUGAAUUAAAAUGUAAUAUGAAUUUCUAUGAAUAGGUCCAUUAGGUCCAUUUUUAAAAAAAUUACACAUGAAUCAAAGUUGUGAUUUCUGUUUUAAUAUAUAAGAUGUAGCUUUUUUCUGGUGAUAUUGAAACCCUAUUCAAUUCGUUGACGAUUGGGAUUUAUAUGGUGGAACUGGAAAAGCUCAAAACGGGGGGAGUUGAUUCACUAAAAAAUCAACAAUACGCGAAGGUGUUCUAGGUAAAUUGGAAAUUUAUGAAAAAUGAGUUAAUGAAAUGGUGAUCGUUGACAAUAUGGCAGAUACUACUGCAAGUACAUAAUCAACGGUGAUGAAAGGAUAUGAUCGAGGAACUACUAAGAAUAUAAUAGGGGUUGGAGAUGUUUCUAUCGUCAGGCCUACUAUUCAACAACCAAGAAAGAAUGCUAAUUAAUUACUACUAUGAAGUAGUCGCUUCUUGAUACCAAGAAUUAUGAAAAACGUGGGAUAAGUGUGUUCCACAAUAUGUCUUCCUAAUUGGUUUAGACAUUUAUCAGAAGCAACUAUUACUAUGUUUUGUAGGAUGCAAA